rnacentral:rRNA from 1 species
GGGUGAGUAACACGUGGGCAACCUGCCCAAAAGAGGGGGAUAACACUUGGAAACAGGUGCUAAUACCGCAUAACCAUAGUUACCGCAUGGUAACUAUGUAAAAGGUGGCUAUGCUACCGCUUUUGGAUGGGCCCGCGGCGCAUUAGCUAGUUGGUGGGGUAAAGGCUUACCAAGGCAAUGAUGCGUAGCCGAACUGAGAGGUUGAUCGGCCACAUUGGGACUGAGACACGGCCCAAACUCCUACGGGAGGCAGCAGUAGGGAAUCUUCCACAAUGGGCGAAAGCCUGAUGGAGCAACGCCGCGUGGGUGAAGAAGGUCUUCGGAUCGUAAAACCCUGUUGUUAGAGAAGAAAGUGCGUGAGAGUAACUGUUCACGUUUCGACGGUAUCUAACCAGAAAGCCACGGCUAACUACGUGCCAGCAGCCGCGGUAAUACGUAGGUGGCAAGCGUUAUCCGGAUUUAUUGGGCGUAAAGGGAACGCAGGCGGUCUUUUAAGUCUGAUGUGAAAGCCUUCGGCUUAACCGGAGUAGUGCAUUGGAAACUGGGAGACUUGAGUGCAGAAGAGGAGAGUGGAACUCCAUGUGUAGCGGUGAAAUGCGUAGAUAUAUGGAAGAACACCAGUGGCGAAAGCGGCUCUCUGGUCUGUAACUGACGCUGAGGUUCGAAAGCGUGGGUAGCAAACAGGAUUAGAUACCCUGGUAGUCCACGCCGUAAACGAUG